GUAGGGAAUAUUGGGCAAUGGAUGCAAGUCUGACCCAGCCAUCCCGCGUGCCGGAAGAAGGCCCUCAGGGUUGUAAACGGCUUUUGACGGUGAAGAAUCGACAGGAUGCGUCCUGUUUUGACGGUAGCCGUUGAAUAAGCACCGGCUAACACCGGUCCAGCAGCCGCGGUAAUACGGAGGGUGCGAGCGUUGUCCGGAUUUAUUGGGUUUAAAGGGUGCGUAGGCUGGAUGGUCAGUCAGCGGUGAAAAGCUGUCGCUUAACGAUAGUCUUGCCGCAGAUACUUCCUUUCUUGGAUGAGGAGGAGGCCACUGGAACGGAUGGUGUAGCGGUGAAAUGCAUAGAUAUCAUCCAGAACACCGAUUGCGAAGGCAGGUGGCUGUACCUUAAUCGACGCUGAUGCACGAAAGCAUGGGGAGCAAACAGGAUUAGAAACCCCAGUAGUCC
rnacentral:rRNA from 1 species